rnacentral:rRNA from 1 species
GAUAAACGCUGGCGGCGCACAUAAGACAUGCAAGUCGAACGGACGACUUUGAUUUGUUUUACUUAUCAAAGAAGUUAGUGGCGGACUGGUGAGUAACACGUAAAUAAUCUGCCUGCAAGAGGGGAACAACAGUGAGAAAUCACUGCUAAUACCGCAUAAUCUACAAUUAUCGCAUGAUAGAUGUAGAAAAGGAGCAAUCCGCUUGCAGAUGAGUUUGCGUCUGAUUAGCUAGUUGGUGUGGUAACGGCAUACCAAGGCGACGAUCAGUAGCCGAACUGAGAGGUUGAUCGGCCACAUUGGGACUGAGACACGGCCCAGACUCCUACGGGAGGCAGCAGUGGGGGAGUAUUGCGCAAUGGGGGGCAACCCUGACGCAGCAACGCCGCGUGAAGGAAGAAGGUUUUCGGAUCGUAAACUUCUUUAAGUGGGAAGAUAGUGACGGUACCACAGAAUAAGCCACGG